CCUACGGGCGGCAGCAGUGAGGAAUAUUGGUCAAUGGCCGGAAGGCUGAACCAGCCAUGCCGCGUGAAGGUCAGUGCCCUAUGGGCGUUAAACUUCUUUUGUGCGGGAGCAAUAAUGGUCACGUGUGGCCAGACGAGAGUACCGUACGAAUAAGCAUCGGCUAACUCCGUUCCAGCAGCCGCGGUAAUACGGGGGAUGCAAGCGUUAUCCGGAUUUAUUGGGUUUAAAGGGUGCGUAGGCUGUGAGGUAAGUCAGCGGUGAAAUGCCCCCGCUCAACGGGGUGAAGUGCCAUUGAUACUGCCUGGCUGGAAUGCGGAUGCCGUGGGAGGAAUGUGUGGUGUAGCGGUGAAAUGCAUAGAUAUCACACAGAACACCGAUUGCGAAGGCAUCUCACGUAUCCGCGAUUGACGCUGAUGCACGAAAGCGUGGGUAUCAAACAGGAUUAGAUACCCCAGUAGUC
rnacentral:rRNA from 1 species